UACGUAGGGUGCGAGCGUUGUCCGGAAUUAUUGGGCGUAAAGGGCUCGUAGGCGGUCUGUCGCGUCGGGAGUGAAAACUCAGGGCUUAACCCUGAGCCUGCUUCCGAUACGGGCAGACUAGAGGUAUGCAGGGGAGAACGGAAUUCCCGGUGUAGCGGUGGAAUGCGCAGAUAUCAGGAGGAACACCGGUGGCGAAGGCGGUUCUCUGGGCAUUACCUGACGCUGAGGAGCGAAAGUGUGGGGAGCGAACAGG
rnacentral:rRNA from 1 species